CCUCAAGACAGAUGCCCAUUCGUUACUGCAAACAUGUGGGAGAUGAUGGAUAAAAGUUGGGGUAUGAUUGAAGCUUAUUUGGUCUUUUAGCCCAAACAUUCCAAACGUUCAAAGCGCACACCUGGGAGAAAUCGAAUCCAGAACGCGUUCUCAUCUUAAACUCGUCAAUGGCAUACGAAGCAUCCACACGUUCCUCACAUUUUCACCACGCUAUUUCUUCUUUCGCUUCAGCAUUUCAUGCUUUUUUUUCCUUCUCACUACGAAAGCCAUGAAUGAACUCCAAAUUCGUAUCCAAGCUAACAUAUCUCCUCGUUGUAGCAUCGACUUCACGUGCCUCCUUCUUAAUUCAAAAGAUCUAGCGCAAGCCAUAGAUAACUUCGAAUAUAGAGCUUCACCAAAUCGAGUCCAAACUGAGUUCGUCAUUCAUCUUCAACAAAUCCAAAUCCAUACCGAAGUCGAAUUCUCUAAACAACUCGUUCUUGCACGUAGAUUAAAGAAUCAAGAAGAAGACUUAUCGUUGGAGUUUCGACGCAGUGGUUAUGGUUACAGGUACUGGAUUAUCUUUCUAUUUCCUUCUACUCUUCCUCGAUUCCACCUUUUUCUUUUCCUUCUAUGUUGCUGCGUUGUUGAAUUUAUGUGUCGAGAAUGAGUGAUAUUGUUAUGUUCUCUGCGUGAGGUCGAAGAAUGGUGACGAGAUUUGCAGUGAGGAAUUCAGAGAGAGAUCGGAGAUAGAGCUUUGUGAGAAAUGGAGAGGGAAGAGUCAAACUGAAAAAAUGAAUUCUCCUCCUCGGAAUUGUGAUGAUUGAUGAAUAUAUAGUGAGGUGUAGAUGUAACUGAAUCGAGCACUUUGGUCAGUUCUGUUAGGGCAGGGUUAAUGUUUAACUGAAAUCGUGAAGGGAUUGGUUAUGAUGUUAACUAUGUGAAACUCUUCUGUCAGUUUCUGUUAUCAUUCUUUUUAGGUUAGAAACUAUGUUUAAAGAUCUAUUAUGGAUGUUGGAUGUUGAAGCUAGAGGAUUCAGUAAAGCUUGAAGUUGGAUAUGUUUUAAUUUUGCAGGUUGGAAUCCAUUGAUUUGUUGCUAUGAGAUUUUGAAUGUGCUUGGGAUAUUGUUGCAGUAGUGGUUUGAAUACUGGCUAUGGCUUGAAUGGUUGGACAAUGUUGGAUGGUUGCAAUUGACUUGGCUAGGCAAUGGUUGGAUGAUUUUUAUAGGUUUUAGGUGUGGUUAUGUAUUGUAAUGUAGCUUAGGUCAUGUAUUUAGUUAUGUGUUGUAUAUGGAAACAAUGGAUGAAUAUUGACUGUAUUAUAAUGGAAUUGGAGUAUUGUAUUUGUGCUUAAA